AGUCUAUCAGCAGUGCUGAACAGCAUUUCUUGUCUGCACAGUGGCUCCUCCAAAAGCAGUUACUGGAGCUGUAAACCACAUCUCUACCAAAACAAUGCACUGAUGGUCCAGAGCACAGCAUAAAUUAUCCAGGAAGAGGAAUGCCAUUGUCAACUCUGCCUGAGUAGCUGGAAGUCCUAAGUGAACUCUAAUCUUCCACUGCCAUAGCAGUACUUAGGAGGAAAAGAGGACGAAAUAGGAGGAAAAUACUCACUGUAUUCAAGAAGAAAAUUAAAGAAAUAAAAUCAGAGAAGAGACAGUUCCUUUUCUGCAAAAUACAGGUGGAUGCUGCUAAACUCUUUUCUCAGGUACCCUGUGAUCAAAGGCUUUUAUUAGAAAAACCGGACAAGUGAAAGUGAAGAAUUCACUGUAGAACGCCUUAAGUUUCUAAAAGGAAGAAAAUGAUAAAUCAAGUCUAAAUCAAGAUUCUCCUGAGGAUCUACACUCACUGACACACUUUAUCUCUGCAUCCUGCUGGAUUCCUAAGCGUCAGCAUUCAUUUAAUUUGGCUGAACAGCAUGGAAAAGUUUGAAGUAUCUUUAUUUACGUUAUGCAAUAAAAUUUCUAUUGUUUAAGAAAAUAACAAACGAGAAAAAACAAAGAAAAUAUGAAUAUUUAUAAAAAUACAUCAUAAAGACAUAAACAGCACAGAAAAAUGAAUAAGCUAUUGUGUUUCUAAACAGAGAAAGUAUCUAAGGCAUGCUAGAUGACCUUUUUUUGAUAAUGAUAAUUGGUUGUUCAAAAUAUGUUCAUUUUGUAAGACGUGUUUCUAAGGCUAAGUUGCAUGUAUAAAUUGUGUUUAUGCAGGCAAUGCAAAAAUUUCAGUUUUCAAUUAAUUUUCUAAUUUCCACUUCUAACUUAAGGUGUUUGUCACAAUACUCCGGGUACUAGAUACUUAGCUUUUCAGGCAUGUUAAGAUUUUGCUGUAGGAUUCUUAUUGUUUCAAUAUUCUUUAUAUGGGGCCACUUUUAGCAGGGUAAUUUUAGACAAGCUUCAGUUCAGAAAAGUACACACAUUUAAUUUCUCUAUGGGGUGGCUGAGGUAUGUACACACAUACUGACCUAGUACCAUAAUUACUAGAUCAGUUUUCUUAAACACGCUAAUUUAUAACUCUUGAAAAUAACUGUUUCAAAUUGGUCAAUUUUCAAUGUGUGCGCUUAUACACAUAAAGAAUUCAUAAUGCUGUACAUGUUAUUGUCACAUAGUGCCCCUUCAUUUAAAGCUUCUUCCCAGUUGACAUGAUGCCAGUAUAAUCUAGUAAGUGAUAACAUGGUGUUUCCUGCUGCUUCCCCAUAUUCUCUUAAAUUUUACAUAUCAUUUGUUAUUUUGAAGGGUUUUCUGAAAAAUAAUAAUUCACGGCUAUUUUGUAUCCUAAAGAAGUGAUUGAUAUUUACACUACAAACCACAUUAUCUAUGGGUGUUUUGCAGUAAAUAAAAUAUAAUCAUUUAUAAUCAUACCACCUUGCCAUUUUUAAUUCAUGACAUGAGGUUUACUGUAAGAAUCAUUACCAAUAGUAAUUGGCAUUUGAUUUUAUACAAAGAGUAAAAGGCUAAAUUAGUACUGCUAUGGUUCAAUUUUGUAUACCAUGAAAUGAAUGUAUAGAAGCUGUUUAAAGCUAUAUUUUUAUUAAUUAUAUUGUUUAUUAAUUAUAUUAUAUUUAUUAAUAACUAAGCAGUGGUAUUGAGGUAACAUUAUUUUUGUAUUCACUCAAAAAAUUAAAACCAAACUUUAGAUCUCGUCAUGUAAUGCAUGACCUAUCAUAAUCACUGAUCUGCACAUUGCAUCAGAAGUGCUUCAAAAGAAUCCUCCAUUUUGCUUAAGAAUCAUGACACUGAAGCACAGCUGAACUACUUAUCUCCUUCAUAAAAGAUAAACCACUCAGACUGUUGACUAUAUCCCUAUUUUAAAUGGAUUCCAGAUGUCUCCAUGCAGUGGAAAGAACUCAACAGUUCACAUGAGACGUAUAUUUCAUUAUAUUAGGAGUCUAAAGAAGGAUAUUUUCUCAUUAAAUACUUAUUUUCCUCUUGUUAAUAAAAAACCCUGUUCUUCUUAAAAUAUCAACAACGACCAUCUGUAUGUGUUGCUUGUAGAUUGGUGUGAGGACUGAGUGUGAUCUAUCAUGUUUCUUUUGUUUCUGUGCCACUAUUUUUCUUCUGAAGUGGAAACAUAAAAAAAAUAUGAAUGGCUCCUAAUUU
rnacentral:lncRNA from 7 species